rnacentral:lncRNA from 1 species
UUCAGUUUUACUGAGUGUGGGAAUCUUGCCCAGCCUCUGACAUCGUACAGGUUGAUACUCAUCAGGUUGCCCUUUUAUGGACCACGGCCUCUAGGGUCCAGUGUUCUUGCUUGGAGAAUCCCAGGGACAGUGGAGCCUGCUGGGUUGCAGUCCAUGGAGUCGCGAAGCAUCAGACACAACUGAGCGACCUCACUUUCACUUCUCACUUUCAUGCAUUGGAGAAGGAAAUGGCAACCCACUCCAGUGUUCUUGCCUGGAGAAUCCCAGGGACGGGGGAGCCUGGUGGGCUGCCAGCAGCAGCAGCAGGGACCUACAGUUCUGACAAGCAGGAGUGCAAGUUCACUCUGUCCUAGGAUUCCCAAAGGGGAGUACCGUGUCUGGAAAACUGACAACGAAUCAGCCAUCCAUGGCAACAGGCUGCCAGAGAGAAGAGCGGACCCCGAGAACACAAAGAAGCGAAAAUAUACGAUGACCCAAACAUGGCGCAAAAAGCUGAGAACUUUUUUCCCUUUGAACACAAAUGUGUGUCUCUUUUCCCUGGAAUAAAAGCUCAUUCCCUCUCCCAUCUGUGUGACAGCUGCAGCCCGUGUGCCGGACGUCAGCUAGAACAGGGCUUCUGCUCUUCCUGUCCCAGUCCGCACGGCUCCAUCCUUAUGUAGGGUUUGGUUUAAUGACUUUUACAGUAAUAAGCA